rnacentral:tRNA from 1 species
GAGGGUGUAGCUCAAGUGGUAGAGCACAUGCUUAGCAUGCACGAAGUCCUGGGUUCAAUCCCCAGUCCCUCU